ensembl:lncRNA
CUCCUGCUAUCUUCUAAAUAAAAAUGGAGCUGUAACACUGAUUUGCCUAAGAGCUGUAGCACGGUUUGUCCAAGACCCAAGACCUGUGAUGCGCCGAGGGCUUUAAUGUCCGUCACUCCAAAUCUUUGUUGUGAUGAGACAAAGAACCGAGGAACAUACACUCGCAUGACAGAGACAACAGCCAAUCCCAUCAUGAGAUCAGCAGUGAGAUGACCCCACAAACUGGAUGGAAUAGAGGGAACCCCCACCACCCCACCCCUCCCAGUGGCUGCAGGAAAUCUCCAAGAUGUAUCUCAUCAUGGAACUUGGGCCUGCAAAACACCAAGCAGCUUUCAGCGUGGAGUCUGCCAAUCCACUUUGAGAGUGUUUUAAAAAUUGCAUGUAUAAUCCACCUGCCAAUGCAGGAGAUACAGGAGACCCAGAUUUGAUUUCUGGGUCCAGAAGAUCCCCUGGAGGAGGAAAUGGCAACCCAGUCCAGUAUUCCUGCCUGGGAAAUCCCAUGGACAGAGGAACCUGGUGGUCCAUGGGGUCGCAAAAGAGUUGGACACAACUUAGUGACCGAGCACACAUACUAAUCAAGCAAAGAAUCCUUUGUGAAACACUGAUUUUCGGGCUACCUCACCUCUUGCCUCUUGGAUUGUUGUCAUUGUAUCC